rnacentral:rRNA from 1 species
GACGAACGCUGGCGGCGUGCCUAAUACAUGCAAGUAGAACGCUGAAGAGAGGAGCUUACUCUUCUUGGAUGAGUUGCGAACGGGUGAGUAACGCGUAGGUAACCUGCCUUGUAGCGGGGGAUAACUAUUGGAAACGAUAGCUAAUACCGCAUAACAAUGGAUGACACAUGUCAUUUAUUUGAAAGGGCAAUUGCUCCACUACAAGAUGGACCUGCGUUGUAUUAGCUAGUAGGUGAGGUAAUGGCUCACCUAGGCGACGAUACAUAGCCGACCUGAGAGGGUGAUCGGCCACACUGGGACUGAGACACGGCCCAGACUCCUACGGGAGGCAGCAGUAGGGAAUCUUCGGCAAUGGGGGCAACCCUGACCGAGCAACGCCGCGUGAGUGAAGAAGGUUUUCGGAUCGUAAAGCUCUGUUGUAAGUCAAGAACGGGUGUGAGAGUGGAAAGUUCACACUGUGACGGUAGCUUACCAGAAAGGGACGGCUAACUACGU